rnacentral:rRNA from 1 species
UACGUAGGGUGCAAGCGUUAAUCGGAAUUACUGGGCGUAAAGCGCACGUAGGCGGCGUCGUAAGUCAGGGGUGAAAUCCCGGAGCUCAACUCCGGAAAUGCCCUUGAAACUGCAAUGCUAGAAUCUUGGAGAGGCGAGUGGAAUUCCGAGUGUAGAGGUGAAAUUCGUAGAUAUUCGGAAGAACACCAGUGGCGAAGGCGACUCGCUGGACAAGUAUUGACGCUGAGGUGCGAAAGCGUGGGGAGCAAACAGG